rnacentral:rRNA from 1 species
AUAUAUGUUCCUACAACAUUAAUGCAUCAUAUCCAAUUAGAACUUCACAGUUAAGUGUGCUUGGGCUAGAGUAGUACUAGGUUGGGUGACCUCUCCGGAAGUCCUAGUGUUUUACAUG